rnacentral:rRNA from 1 species
UUGAGGGAAGUAGUCCCUCUUCCUCUGUCCCAAGAUCUCGACACUGUUUCUUGGAGUCUUUCUCCUUCGGGAGAAUUCUCCCUUAGUUCGGCUUCUCAGGCGCUGUGCCGGUUGCCGGUUCUCCAGUGAUUAUCCCCAUUGUGGAAGGCGCCGAUGCCCCUGAAGAUCAAGAUUUUCGUGUGGCAGCUUCUCAGAGAUUGCUUACCUUCGGGGACCGAGGUGCUGAAACGCCAUGGUCCAGGCAAUGGCCUUUGCCCCCUUUGCCUCAUCCCGGAAACAGGAACACACAUCUUGUUCUCAUGCGUAGCAGCGCAGGCACUUUGGUGCUUUGUUCGUGAGGCCCUGGGACCAGAGUGGGAGGCCGACCUUGAAGUGUUUCUGCAGGUAAGGGCCACUCAGGUUGGCCGUAAGCGCCGACUGUUCUGGCUCAUCUUCACGGCUAUGACGUGGACUCUUUGGACUGCUCGCAAUAAGAUGGUGAUUGAGCGGGUGUUCCCGUGGCGUGCUUCUGAUUCGUUCUUCAAAUUUCUUGCCUUCUUGCAGCACUGGCAUCCGCUCGCUAGGCCGAGAGAUCGUGACCAGCUUCAGCUCUAUCUGGACGCUCUGCUGUCUUCCGCGCGCCGGCUCUCCGACCGUUCUUCUGCUUCGUAG